UACAGAGGUCCCAAGCGUUGUUCGGAUUCACUGGGUUUAAAGGGUGCGUAGGUGGGUUGGUAAGUCAGUGGUGAAAUCUCCGUGCUUAACAUGGAAACUGCCAUUGAUACUACUGAUCUUGAAUUUUCUGGAGGUAAGCGGAAUAUGACAUGUAGCGGUGAAAUGCUUAGAUAUGACAUAGAACACCAAUUGCGAAGGCGGCUUGCUAAACAAAUAUUGACGCUGAGGCACGAAAGCGUGGGGAUCAAACAGG
rnacentral:rRNA from 1 species